rnacentral:rRNA from 1 species
AACUCUGGUAUUGAUUGGUGCUUGCAUCAUGAUUUACAUUUGAGUGAGUGGCGAACUGGUGAGUAACACGUGGGAAACCUGCCCAGAAGCGGGGGAUAACACCUGGAAACAGAUGCUAAUACCGCAUAACAACUUGGACCGCAUGGUCCGAGUUUGAAAGAUGGCUUCGGCUAUCACUUUUGGAUGGUCCCGCGGCGUAUUAGCUAGAUGGUGGGGUAACGGCUCACCAUGGCAAUGAUACGUAGCCGACCUGAGAGGGUAAUCGGCCACAUUGGGACUGAGACACGGCCCAAACUCCUACGGGAGGCAGCAGUAGGGAAUCUUCCACAAUGGACGAAAGUCUGAUGGAGCAACGCCGCGUGAGUGAAGAAGGGUUUCGGCUCGUAAAACUCUGUUGUUAAAGAAGAACAUAUCUGAGAGUAACUGUUCAGGUAUUGACGGUAUUUAACCAGAAAGCCACGGCUAACUACGUGCCAGCAGCCGCGGUAAUACGUAGGUGGCAAGCGUUGUCCGGAUUUAUUGGGCGUAAAGCGAGCGCAGGCGGUUUUUUAAGUCUGAUGUGAAAGCCUUCGGCUCAACCGAAGAAGUGCAUCGGAAACUGGGAAACUUGAGUGCAGAAGAGGACAGUGGAACUCCAUGUGUAGCGGUGAAAUGCGUAGAUAUAUGGAAGAACACCAGUGGCGAAGGCGGCUGUCUGGUCUGUAACUGACGCUGAGGCUCGAAAGUAUGGGUAGCAAACAGGAUUAGAUACCCUGGUAGUCCAUACCGUAAACGAUGAAUGCUAAGUGUUGGAGGGUUUCCGCCCUUCAGUGCUGCAGCUAACGCAUUAAGCAUUCCGCCUGGGGAGUACGGCCGCAAGGCUGAAACUCAAAGGAAUUGACGGGGGCCCGCACAAGCGGUGGAGCAUGUGGUUUAAUUCGAAGCUACGCGAAGAACCUUACCAGGUCUUGACAUACUAUGCAAAUCUAAGAGAUUAGACGUUCCCUUCGGGGACAUGGAUACAGGUGGUGCAUGGUUGUCGUCAGCUCGUGUCGUGAGAUGUUGGGUUAAGUCCCGCAACGAGCGCAACCCUUAUUAUCAGAUGCCAGCAUUAAGUUGGGCACUCUGGUGAGACUGCCGGUGACAAACCGGAGGAAGGUGGGGAUGACGUCAAAUCAUCAUGCCCCUUAUGACCUGGGCUACACACGUGCUACAAUGGAUGGUACAACGAGUUGCGAACUCGCGAGAGUAAGCUAAUCUCUUAAAGCCAUUCUCAGUUCGGAUUGUAGGCUGCAACUCGCCUACAUGAAGUCGGAAUCGCUAGUAAUCGCGGAUCAGCAUGCCGCGGUGAAUACGUCCCCGGGCCUUGUACACACCGCCCAUCACACCAUGAGAGUUUGUAACACCCAAAGUCGGU